AGUCUGUCGUAGCAUGGACGCGUGAACGAUGAAGGCUUUCGGGUCGUAAAGUUCUGUUGUCAGGGAAGAACAAGUACCGGAGUAACUGCCGGUACCUUGACGGUACCUGACCAGAAAGCCACGGCUAACUACGUGCCAGCAGCCGCGGUAAUACGUAGGUGGCAAGCGUUGUCCGGAAUUAUUGGGCGUAAAGCGCGCGCAGGCGGUUCCUUAAGUCUGAUGUGAAAGCCCCCGGCUCAACCGGGGAGGGUCAUUGGAAACUGGGGAACUUGAGUGCAGAAGAGGAGAGCGGAAUUCCACGUGUAGCGGUGAAAUGCGUAGAGAUGUGGAGGAACACCAGUGGCGAAGGCGGCUCUCUGGUCUGUAACUGACGCUGAGGCGCGAAAGCGUGGGGAGCGAACAGGAUUAGAUACCCUGGUAGUCCACGCCGUAAACGAUGAGUGCUAAGUGUUAGAGGGUUUCCGCCCUUUAGUGCUGCAGCAAACGCAUUAAGCACUCCGCCUGGGGAGUACGGCCGCAAGGCUGAAACUCAAAGGAAUUGACGGGGGCCCGCACAAGCGGUGGAGCAUGUGGUUUAAUUCGAAGCAACGCGAAGAACCUUACCAGGUCUUGACAUCCUCUGACAACCCUAGAGAUAGGGCGUUCCCCUUCGGGGGACAGAGUGACAGGUGGUGCAUGGUUGUCGUCAGCUCGUGCCGUGAUAUGUUGGGUUAAGUCCCGCAACGAGCGCAACCCUUGAUCUUAGUUGCUAGCAUUCAGUUGGGCUCUCUAAGGUGACUGCCGG
rnacentral:rRNA from 1 species